UUGUCCAGACGGUUGGAUCUC
rnacentral:piRNA from 1 species